GACGAACGCUGGCGGCGUGCCUAAUACAUGCAAGUCGAGCGAGCGGCGGACGGGUGAGUAAUGUCUGGGAAACUGCCUGAUGGAGGGGGAUAACUACUGGAAACGGUAGCUAAUACCGCAUACCAUCAGAUGUGCCCAGAUGGGAUUAGCUAGUAGGUGGGGUAAUGGCUCACCUAGGCGACGAUCCCUCGCUGGUCUGAGAGGAUGACCAGCCACACUGGAACUGAGACACGGUCCAGACUCCUACGGGAGGCAGCAGUGGGGAAUGUUGGACAAGGGGCGAAAGCCUGAUGCAGCCAUGCCGCGGGUGUGAAGAAGGCCUUCGGGUUGUAAAGCACUUUCAUCGAGGAGGCGUUACUCGCAGAGGAAGCACCGGCUAACUCCGUGCCAGCAGCCGCGGUAAUAC
rnacentral:rRNA from 1 species